rnacentral:misc_RNA from 1 species
AAGUCGUAACAAGGUUUCCGUAGGUGAACCUGCGGAAGGAUCAUUACCGAACAACCAAAUCCUCUGUGCCUCCUUGUAGCAGGCAGGAUCGGGGUUCCAAGGGGUUGCCUUCCAGCACCCCUUGGUCUCCAUGCUGCCACUACGUCCUCCUAUUUUACCAAACAAAACCCGUCUGUCGCAUGUUUGUGGCAUCCCCUUGUCGGGCUUGCCCUUUAAACAUAUCAAACAUAACUUUCAACAACGGAUCUCUUGGCUCUC